rnacentral:rRNA from 1 species
UACCAAGGUUUCCGUAGGUGAACCUGCGGAAGGAU